UUCAGAAUUCGGGUCUACAAAAUUUAUUAUCUUAUCUCACAAAAUCCAUAACCCAGCUUCUGUUUACUUCAUAUAAAGGACAUAUUUUUCUUUUCUCUUAAUAAACAAUAGAUUUUGAAAACUCUGUCAACAAAAUCAGUCACCCUUCCAGUUUUAGCAGCUUGAAAUGGAAAUGUUCUGUAUACUCUAUUCAUCCAUUUUUAGUUACACAAUUUGCUCGUUAUUAUUGAGCAAUGGAGCUCUCUAUUUUUUGCUACACAGAAAUUUCGUUUUCCUCUAUUCUUUGUUACACCGAACUUUCUUUUUCAUCUAUUUUUUGUUACACAGAAAUUUCUCAUGGAUCCAAAUGAAACUCAAGAGCCAAAUGAAAUUCAAGAUCCAAAUGAAACUCAAGAUCCAAAUGAAACUCAAUAUACUUCGCAUGUUAGUUACACAGUGACUAAUGCUGAUAAUAUGGGUUACAUUGAGAACCCUUAUGUAGAAAUUCAGCUGGAUGAUCAUUCUCUGAAUGUCGAGAAUUCGGAAGCUUUCGAUGCUAAUUACUCAUCCGAAUCUGGUGAGAUGUUUCGUUAUGGAUAGAGGUGAAGAAAGAAUGGUUUUCCCUCAACACCAUAUCACAUUUGCUGAAUGGCACACUACUCAAGCAACAUACAAUGUGUAUCCUGCUCAAGCUUUCACGUUUCCUACUGGAUUUUACUCAGCCGAUUGUCUCACUCAAGAUGCAGUUUAUGUACCAGAUGUUUAUAAGGAACAAAUCAGAGGUCUUGUGAGAUUUCUGGUUUAUUUGCAUGAGAGUGAAAUGACCACUUGUGGUUUUAGUCCACAUAAUUUGGUGGUUGAAGAAGGGCAACUUAAAUUUUAUAAAAUCAAAACGAAAUAUUUUACUCCUCAUCUUUCAGUAAAUCAAAGGGCUGUAAGAAGCGACUAUGUUAGUUUGAAACAGUUUUUACUGAACGAAAUUUUUUCUGGAUACACACUCCCGCAUCAAAUGAAGCAUUUUUUGAGACUGCUUAAUUCCCGUUCUAUAAGUGCUAAUGAGAAUUUGCUGGAAAGACAUGUGGCCCUGAUGUCACAUGCACAAACAGUGAGUUGUUGGGAGAAUCGGCUAACAUUGGAAAGCGUAGAGCUGGGUAAAUACCGAAGAGCAAUUUCCCAGUUAGGCGAUAACACUGGAUGGUCUAGCAGAGUGAACCGCGAGCCUCUUCUUAAUUGCUAUAUGAAUCAUCAGACUAGUGGUGGACAACCAUAUCCGGUAAUGAUUUUAAGAUGAAUUCAAGUUUCAUAAAAUGCUGGAGGAACACCGUGUGUACGAGGUGGCCCAAACGUUUAAUACGUUGUUUUCCACUGUCAAUGUUGAUGCAAUGAUCAUGCACGCUUUUGGGGAUAAAAUAGCGGAAUUUCAAAUGCUACUAUGGGAGAAAGACAUUUUGAAUUUUUUUAUAUGAUUUAGAUACAAGGAGAUGAGCAGCUAUCAAUUGUUUUCGGGUGCUUUUUGAGAAGGAGGAUUAUGAUUAUUAUUGUCUUUUGAUGUUUUUUAAAUUAUUAUGUUUGUGUAAUUUUAUUCUGAUAAUUACUUAUUGUGAGAUAUUUUAAAUUAAGAUUUGGUUGGAACUUUUA